GUCCCCUGGGGGGCCUGUAGAGGGGAGGGGGAGGCCUGGGGAGCCCUGGGUUUCUCAAGAGGUCUAGGGCCCCAGAGAGGGGUUGGGAGAUGGUUUAGGGGGCUGGGACCCCUGGGCAUGGGGCUAGGCUGGAGGUUGGGGCUCUAGUGAAGUGGCUAGGGGCUAUUCCCUGGGACCCCCAGCAUGGGACUGGGGGGGACAGUGGUCCCCUUAGGGAUGGUGAAGCUGUUGUAGAGGGGAAGAGGACUUCUCUGGGAAGGUACUUCCAGGGCAGAAUCGGGGUUUGGAGCAUGAAUACCCCUCAAAAGAGGUGGAAAGGUCAACACAUUGGGGCUUCCUUCCCCUCAGCAAUGGUGUCACGCCGCAUGGUGGGGAACUGAGGUCAGGGCCCCCUCUGAGCUAGGUCUGAUGGAUGUGGGAUGGGAGAAAAGCCCUCUUGGGGGCUAUUUACAAUUGAAACAGCUGCACACUUUCCUCAGGAUACAUCCUUGGCGGCUGGCACAGAUCCGGAGAUGCUCUUAAGUGUCCAGGGAGGCACUCCUGGCAUCCUGCUCAACAGCAGCACUUGGCUGGGACACAAGCCAUUUCCGCUCCAGCUGAAGCCAAAAGAGCAGAAAGUUCCCUCACCGAGGAGCCUAGAUCCCCAGAAGCAGGAGGUGAAGCUGCCCUCUGAGUUCAGGGUUUGUGCAUGGAAAAACAGACUGAGCAUCUCCCCCUGAGAAGGCUGGGGCCCGUUUACAGAAUGAGAAGGAGGAGAAACCCAGUGAGGUCUGCUGACUUUACCACUGCUUCCUGCCCUCUCCUCUGCUACCAUAGAUGGUAAUAUCUGCUGCAACAGCCGCUCAGCAAAGUAGGAAUGGGGGACGAGUCACCAUGGUGUUGCCUCAGAGCUCCUGAGUUGAGCCAGAGCUCUGGGCUUUGCCUGGGGUCCCUGACAGGGGAAGGCAAGAAGGGGGGCUGCAUUGCUGGGAAUUGCCAGAAGGACUGGGAGCAGGCGAGCGGGGCUCUACUGACAUCUAGUGAGGUUGUCUCCACAAGGUUUGUGUUCCCUCUGUGCUGGGGAGGCAUUGAAAACCUUCAGGCUUUGCUUUUGUGGGCUCUGAGGAUGAGCAGCAAGCUGAUAGCACCUGCGUCUUGUUGGUGAAGACUGCAGCUCUUGUAACCCUCUUCCCCUCUGCACAACCCCUUGGCUCCUGGCCAGCUGCCUUGGAAGAUCACACAGGGCUGAGUAGCCUCCGAGAUCUGAACCGUUGCCCUCACGUUUUCCUUCCUAGUUAGGCUGAGGCCAACAGAGGAGGCAAGAGCAGUUCCUCUGCAGUCACCUGGAUGGUCUGCCUGACAUAAUCAGACACUGUGCCUGAUGGCCCCCUUGCUGUCCCAGGUGCUCUGUGUACGGGGGCUUCUGCUCAUAACUGAUGCAUUUUCUGUUUUUCUUGCUCUAUUUUCCACCAUGCCAGUGUCUGUCUGCCUCUUGCAGCUCUCUCUGUCUCUGACUGCAUCACGAUGAGACUCUUUUGGAGCUAUCAGUUAAUAUGGUAUGAAAUGGAAGGUAAAACUACCUCUUUUCUGCGCAUUCAGUAGCUUGGACCAUCCUAUGGAUAAGUCCAGUCCCAACCUGCUUUGGGAGAACAUGUUCACACUGGGUGGGAAUCCAGAGGGAAGUGUGGGGUCCACAGUCUGUCCUCACAUGGGCUGGUCAAGUCAGGCCAGGCCUGGCUGGUCACAGCAAUAAAACACAAGCCACGUUCUACUUUGGAGGCGGC
ensembl:lncRNA